rnacentral:misc_RNA from 1 species
AAGUCGUAACAAGGUCUCCGUUGGUGAACCAGCGGAGGGAUCAUUACCGAGUUUACAACUCCCAAACCCAAUGUGAACGUUACCAAACUGUUGCCUCGGCGGGAUCUCUGCCCCGGGUGCGUCGCAGCCCCGGACCAAGGCGCCCGCCGGAGGUACCCAAAACUCUUGUUUAACUAAAAGGCCUCUCUGAGUACUGUACUUAAAUAAGUCAAAACUUUCAACAACGGAUCUCUUGGCUCUC